rnacentral:rRNA from 1 species
GAUGAACGCUGGCGGCGUGCCUAAUACAUGCAAGUCGAGCGAACAGACGAGGAGCUUGCUCCUCUGACGUUAGCGGCGGACGGGUGAGUAACACGUGGAUAACCUACCUAUAAGACUGGGAUAACUUCGGGAAACCGGAGCUAAUACCGGAUAAUAUAUUGAACCGCAUGGUUCAAUAGUGAAAGACGGUUUUCCGUUACUUUUAGAUGGAUCCGCGCCGCAUUAGCUAGUUGGUAAGGUAACGGCUUACCAAGGCAACGAUGCGUAGCCGACCUGAGAGGGUGAUCGGCCACACUGGAACUGAGACACGGUCCAGACUCCUACGGGAGGCAGCAGUAGGGAAUCUUCCGCAAUGGGCGAAAGCCUGACGGAGCAACGCCGCGUGAGUGAUGAAGGUCUUCGGAUCGUAAAACUCUGUUAUUAGGGAAGAACAAAUGUGUAAGUAACUAUGCACGUCUUGACGGUACCUAAUCAGAAAGCCACGGCUAACUACGUG